GGAUGGGCGGACCGAGACUCUCGGCCCCUUGAAAGCUAAAGCCGCCCUAGUUGGGCUCUCGAGGGGUGUUCCUGCAUGCGAUCGAGACCUGUGUCGUGUUUCAGCUGUCGCCGUGCAUGCAGGUGACUUGUUUGACACCGGUUUGGCAGGUGCCGAGGGAGGAGUCGUGCAGGGUGAUGGAGGACGGCGCUGUCAGCAGGUGGUGGGCGAGCCUCAAGAUGGCAACCGUAUCUGAUGGAGGCCAGGUAGGUGC